CGACGCCUUUCUUGAAUGAAACCGUCGCAGUCAGUUCGCAUCAAGGCGUCCACCCUCGCUUCCACUUUUCACGGAUUUUUUAAUCGUCCUCCGAGGAAGUGACAUUUCACGGUGAUAAAUCAUUUCGAUCACGUCCACAUCACGUCUUCUCUAAAUCUUCAGUAUUAUGAAACAUGAAGAUUACUUAAUCGAAAGAAGAAAUAUGACAUUCCAAUUUCCAAGGAUGGACAAGGAGAUUAAUGAAGUGAAGAAAUAUGAGAAUAUCUUUGAAAAGAUUCACAUUCGACGUACCAAGGCUCUUGAGUGCUUUUCGGCACGAGGAAUUCGUAAAUAUUUCGCUCAUAUGCUAAAAUAAAGCGUUUCGUAGAGUGCGUUAGGUUUCCUGAGUCUCGUUGGCUGAUUCAUUAUAGUUAUAUAGGAAAUCGAACAUUUUAUGCGAUAAAAUAAUUCUUACUAUAUA